AGGAUCAAGCGUCUGAAGGGCAUCUGGUGGAUGCCUUGGCACUGAGAGGCGAUGAAGGACGCAGCACGUUGCGAUAAGCCAUGGGGAGCCGCGAGCAGGCUUUGAUCCGUGGAUUUCCGAAUGGGGCAACCCACCGCGCAAGCGGUAUCCUCACCUGAAUUCAUAGGGUGGGAGGCGAACCCGGCGAACUGAAACAUCUAAGUAGCCGGAGGAAAGGACAUCAACCGAGACUCCGCUAGUAGUGGCGAGCGAACGCGGACCAGGCCAGUCAUUCAGUCUACACAACCGGAACCGUCUGGAAAGGCGGGCCAGAGCGGGUGAUAGCCCCGUACGGGUAAACCGGACUGAAUGCUCGAGUAGGGCGGGGCACGUGAAACCCUGUCCGAACAUGGGGGGACCACCCUCCAAGCCUAAGUACUCCUCAGUGACCGAUAGUGCACCAGUACCGUGAGGGAAAGGUGAAAAGCACCCCGACGAGGGGAGUGAAACAGUUCCUGAAACCGGAUGCCUACAAGCAGUCGGAGCGGCCUUGCGCCGUGACGGCGUACCUUUUGUAUAAUGGGUCAGCGACUUACAGUAAGCAGCGAGCUUAAGGCGAUAGCCGGAGGCGCAGCGAAAGCGAGUCUGAACAGGGCGCUUGAGUUGCUUGCUGUAGACCCGAAACCCGGUGAUCUAGCCAUGGGCAGGUUGAAGGUGCGGUAACACGCACUGGAGGACCGAACUCACGCCUGUUGAAAAAGUCGGAGAUGACCUGUGGCUAGGGGUGAAAGGCCAAUCAAACCGGGAAAUAGCUGGUUCUCCGCGAAAGCUAUUUAGGUAGCGCGUCGGGCGAUUGCCCACGGGGGUAGAGCACUGGAUGGGCUAGGGGCCUCGCGGCUUACCAAACCUAA
rnacentral:rRNA from 1 species